rnacentral:rRNA from 1 species
UACGAAGGGGGCUAGCGUUGCUCGGAAUUACUGGGCGUAAAGGGCGCGUAGGCGGACAGUUUAGUCAGAGGUGAAAGCCCAGGGCUCAACCUUGGAAAUGCCUUUGAUACUGGCUGUCUUGAGUUCGGGAGAGGUGAGUGGAAUGCCGAGUGUAGAGGUGAAAUUCGUAGAUAUUCGCAAGAACACCAGUGGCGAAGGCGGCUUACUGGUCCGGUUCUGACGCUGAGGCGCGAAAGCGUGGGGAGCAAACAGG